ACCAUUUUGUAGCAUACUUUUUUUGGAGUGCACCCACACGCACUCGAAAUCAAUCAGUCUCCUGCUCACAGGACAUGUUACGGGACAUCGCUCUGGCCAUCGGCAGCAUUCAGUCAAUGUAAAUGUAAAUUUUCGCCUUUUUGUGGAUCCCGACACUGUGCGACUGUGGUGGACUCCUCUUUCCCGAGUCCGAAGUCACGACUCCGGCCAUGAUGAAGUGCAGCAGCAGCAGCAAUCAGUAGCAGGAGGACCAGCGGUACGAAGGAGUCAUUGUUGACAUUUCAACAUUUGACCACCGGCUGGACCGACUGACGAGCACACACAUACAUACUUCCUCCUGCCACAGCCGCCACAAAAAGCUCCAUGCUGCGUGUGCGUCUCUCGAGCCGCACUCGAAGGCCAGUUUCCCAUUCAUGGCCACGGCAAGUGUUGCAAAGUUAAUUACCAACAGAACUCCAGAUUCGGUUAGAGCGGGACGCAGUUGCAGUGGCCGUUGCAUGGCAGGCGCAGGAUGUCAAAGGACUCGAAAAUUGAAGACCCCUUGUCAGAUGAACGGCUUUGGGAUAUUGAAAAGAGGUUCGCCAGGAUGGCCAUGGACGCUUUGGUUAAGGAAGCACUGACAGCUAGCAACGACAAACAGAGCCCAUCGACUGUCGGAAGCGUUCCAACCCUUAACGUGAACCGAAAAGCGUACAGAUCCAAGGGAAACCACACCCAUUAUUGGCAGUUGAGGUUGUUGUUUUCAAAUUCGACUUGACAAGCUCCAGAGCCAGAAUCCCGAUGCUACACUUAUUAAAAUUCAUGGGAGAACCACGUAUAGGACCCGGGUGGGCCCGUGAAAGCCUCCGGCGGGAUGAGGAGAGAUCCCAACAUAAACAAAGUAGUUGCCUGGUUGCCUUGGCUCGACGCAAAGUAAACAUAAAUAAGAGCAAACGGAACUGGCAGAGGAGAAGGAGCUGUGCCCUCUGAGGCGACGACAACGACGACGACUCCGAUUAGGUAAAUACGGAGGUGAAGGCGCCGCUUCAAAGGAUUCGAGAUGCCACGACAUCUUAAUGAUGAUGUCAUGAAUAAAUUAGUUGGCGACUGGAUAGAAACUACUAUUUCGGCAGGAGCUAAAUCAUCUCCACGUGCCGGGGCGGAGUAGUGGAUGGGAAUGCGACUUCCCACUCGCCCAACUUAAUGACAAAAAUUAAGUGAACCGCAAAAAGUGGCAUUGCGGUCGCCUGAAAGGGCUGAGACUGAGGGGGCGUGGCAGGCUUAGCCAAAGCCGCCACAAAGUUCAAAAAAUGUGUACGACCCACGCACGCACGUGUGAAAAUCCCUUAUAUCCUCCCGAUGAAGUCAUUUAAAUUAACUUGCAAAUUAUGCAAAUGUGCGACAAAAGUGAGACUCCUUCCGGCCGGGGGUAGGUGUUCCUUUGCAGGUGGCCGCCGGUCCGACAUCCGACAUCAGUGUUGCAGCCACGCCCCUUCGACACCCCGACUGCCAGGGUUGAAAAUUAAUUAGUUGCGCCUAUUUUUGCGAUCAAUCAUUCAAUUUUCUGCGCCAUAAAAUCUCGUCGACCGCCCGGAAAACAAAAAAGGCAUCAACACUUUCCGCAAAACAAGGGCGCCACUUGUCCAACAAGCUGCUAGUUGCCUGCCAUCGCCCCCGGACCUGUCCCUGUCCCUGUCCUCAGACCAUCCCGUUCUGCACUGUUCCGCUGGAAACAGCCUCGUCAUUUAUGCGCUACGCUUUUUACGAUGCGGGCUUGUCCUUGUUCCUCCUCCGGCUGCAGCCACCACCCGGGUUCGAUUUUCGGGCUGAGGGUUGGAUGUGGUAAUGACGAGUUUUUCCUGGAUGGUAGCGAGGACGAGGCUGAAGCUUGGCUUGUCAGGCAACGCAAUCUGUCACCAUCCGAAUAGCAAUGAGCAAAAAGGCGAUCAUGAUUGUUAUUGCGAUUGAACGCAGGGUUCCGAAAAACUCGUUGGCUUAAUUUAUUUCAUCCAAAAAAAUAACACCACUGGAAACAAGAAUCUGGU
rnacentral:sRNA from 1 species